CUGAAUUGAUGGAGAAGCAGCGGCAGGCGAGACAGGCGACCCUCAGCAAACAACUCAAGUGCGGGUGCCCUGACUCGACGUGAGCUGACGGCAAGACGUGUUCCCACCCCAUGCGACGCAUUUCAACAGCCAAGAGCGAGCACCCCCGGCUCCACCUCGUCCGUCUCGCAGGCCUCCAACGCCUCUGGGGUCAGCACCGGUGGUUCCAACUCCGGGGGCGGCCGGCAGGAGCAGCAACAAAACCAACAGGCGCUCAGCAUGUCCACCGUCAACGACAACAACAAUCAGGCCUUCUGUGUCAGGUGUCGUCAACGACCGGUUCGAGCGGCAUGAUCCUUCCCACCUCAUUGCACAGUCUGCAGAGAAUGUGGAACAGCACACGCGCCAUCGAUACGAUGCCAACAACACCGCCUUCCUGGUGCUCAGCCUCAUCCAGAUACAAGGCGGUGGCGGCCUGCUCAUUCUAAACAACUCCUCCUCCGGCUCUUCGGGCAAUUCCCAAGGGGACCAGUUGGCGCUGUGUCAGUGCGACCUCGUUUUUCUGCAACUAGAACAGCCUGCCUGGUCCGCUCAAAUGGCAUCAAGCAGAAGGGCAACAAGGGCCUCUCGUCCUGACGCAAUGGAAACGUCAUGUUGCCACGAGCUAGACAAUCUGAAGAUGGGCGUUGCCUCUUCCAUGUAACUUUCCAACUACCUAGAGCUGUCCAAGUCAGUGACGCCAAAGCCUUUGGACACAAGCAGCAAACAGCACCUCGACCAGCUCUCCAGACCAGGAGAGCUACCACUCCAAGGUGGGCGAUGGCACCAGAGUCAGCAGCUUCUUCAACGAGACGCUUGACCUCUCGCAAGACUCUUUCUGCCUACAUGCCGCCUUCCUGCUCCACUGAUCACAUUGCAUCAGUCGUUGGAAAGGCCCCUUUAUUCCAGGCGCCACGCCAACGUGCUGACUGACUCGAUGGUCGAGCUGCGGUUGUGAAUCUCUACGCGUUCGACAUGCUGGGCGACUUCCCUGAGCUGGAGAGUCUGGACUCAGGGGGCCUGGUGCACCACCAACUCUCCACCCAGCUCCAUCCCAAUUUUGGUGGCCAGUCCCUGAGUCACAGCAUGGGUCCAGUGUCGGUGCACACGUCAGGGCCGAGUCCCAUCGACCCUUCUACCCCUGGGUCCGCAGACAAGAGCAGCCAGCAGUCUUCUUCCAGGAUGGACUACAGAGAGGGCACUGCAAACACCACUGAAAUGUUUAAACUAACCUAAAUAAUAAAAUACUAUGCAUGAAAUGCUAACAAGUUGAAAAAAUUGUAAAUAAGAAAUAAAUUUAAAAUAAAACAAUGAUUUGCUGUGGGCUGUAAGAGUCUGUCGCAGUUGCAGCCGUUCAUUUCCCCUAAUUAUUAGUUGAUUUUAAUUUGAAGCUGUACUCUAGGGUCAACAUCUUCUGAAUCCGAAUGCUUGCAAAGUGAUGAGCCAGAAAACUUUAGCCACCUUGGCGAAAAAUAUCAGAAGUGUAUCCGAGGACAGCAUUGUUGAGUUUUAUACGAGCAAUAAAUUAGUUAUAGCUUUUGUUGUUUAAAUAAAAAUUUAAUGCUUUAUUGCAUAUA